rnacentral:rRNA from 1 species
AUGUUGAGGAUACAGGCUCCGUUGCAUUAUCAUCCGACGAACGCAGGACCAAGAUGGCACAUUUGCGCCUGCGGGAGCAUUCAGCAAGGAACUUCUUCCCUGCACGACGCCGAGGUGAAUCCCUCUGGAUACGGCGAAAGAAAGAACCGGAAACACCCGGGCGCCUACAUUGACAAAGAUGGUGAAGCGCGGACCUUCGACCGGAAGAAAAUAUCGCGGAAAAGAGGGGGUGCAAUGAGAGGCCGCGGCUGGAAGUACGGCUCCGGGUUCGUGGACGGCGUGUUCCCGGUGCUCAGCCCCAUGGCGCAGGACAUCCUGGAGCUCGUUCAGAAGGGGACGGACGACGCCAAGGUCUGGGAGGCGCUGGACGACGUCCCUCCCACGCACGCCCUGUGGGACGACGUCCUCAACGUCGCCGUCCAGCUCCGCCUGAACCGGCAGUGGGAUCCCAUCAUCUCAGUCUGCGAGUGGAUCGUGCACCGGAGCUCCUUCCGCCCGGACGUCGUCUGCUACAACCUGCUCAUCGACGCGUACGGCCGGCGGCGGCGGCUGGGCAAGGCGGAGGCCAUGUACGCGGCGCUGCUGGAGGCCCGGUGCGUGCCGACGGAGGACACCUACGCGCUCCUCCUGCGCGCCUACUGCACCGCCGGGUCGCUGCACCGGGCCGAGGGCGUCAUCUCCGAGAUGCGGGAGCACGGGAUCCCUCCGAGUGCGACCGUGUACAACGCGUACCUCGACGGGCUGCUCAAGGCGAGGUGCGCCGAGAAGGCGGUGGAGGUGUACCAGAGGAUGAAGCGGGAGCGGUGCCGGACCAACACGGAGACGUACACCCUCAUGAUCAACGUCUACGGCAAGUCGAAGCAGCCGAUGUCGGCGAUGAAGGUGUUCAAGGAGAUGCAGUCGCUGGGGUGCAAGGCCAACAUCUGCACCUACACGGCGCUGGUGAACGCGUUCGCCCGGGAAGGGCUGUGCGAGAAGGCCGAGGAGGCGUUCGAGGAGAUGCAGCAGGCCGGGCACGAGCCCGACGUCUACGCCUACAACGCCCUCAUGGAGGCCUACAGCCGCGCAGGGUUCCCGCAGGCCGCCUCGGAGAUCUUCUCCCUGAUGCAGCACAUGGGGUGCGACCCCGACAGAGCUUCCUACAACAUCCUCGUGGACGCCUACGGGAGAGCCGGCCUCCACCGAGGUGCGUACGUCAAUCAUGGACUCCUCGAACGCCGGCUGCUCCGGCGAGGUGCCGAGUCUGACAGCCAUGGAGUUUCUGUUGAUGGACGCAGAGGCGGAGGCCGUGUUCGAGUCGCUGAAGCGGCAGGGGAUGGCGCCGACGAUGAAGUCGCACAUGCUGCUGCUGGCGGCGCACGCCAGGUCCGGCAACGUGGCGCGCUGCGAGGAGGUGAUGGCGCAGCUGCACAAGUCGGGCCUCGCGCCGGACACCUUCGCGCUCAACGCCAUGCUCAACGCCUACGGCCGCGCCGGCCGGCUCGACGACAUGGAGCGGCUGCUCGCCGCCAUGGAGCGCCGGGGGACGCGCGACGUGGGCACGUACAACGUGGCCGUCAACGCCUACGGCCGCGCCGGGUACCUGGAGAGGAUGGAGGCGGCGUUCGCGUCGCUGGGGCGGAGGGGCCUCGCCGCCGACGUGGUCACGUGGACGUCCCGCAUGGGCGCCUACGCCAGGAAGAAGGAGUACCGGCGGUGCCUGGAGAUCUUCGAGGAGAUGGUGGACGCCGGGUGCUACCCGGACGCCGGGACGGCCAAGGUGCUCGUCGCGGCGUGCUCCGACGAGCGGCAGGUGGAGCAGGUCACCGCCAUCGUCAGGUCCAUGCACAAGGAGGCCAAGACAUUGUUCACCAUAUGAGAAAGAUGAAGAAAAUCUUGUGUUAA